CAUGUCACUAACGAAGUAGAGAUACAUUAGGUGCUCGUAAGAGGAAGUGAACACAGGUGCUGCAUGGCUGUCGUCAGCUCGUGUCGUGAGAUGUUGGGUUAAGUCCCGCAACGAGCGCAACCCUUGUCUUUAGUUGCUACGCAAGAGCACUCUAAAGAGACUGCCGGUGACAAACCGGAGGAAGGUGGGGAUGACGUCAAGUCCUCAUGGCCCUUAUGGGUAGGGCUUCACACGUCAUACAAUGGUGCAUACAGAGGGUUGCCAACCCGCGAGGGGGAGCUAAUCUCAGAAAAUGCAUCGUAGUCCGGAUCGUAGUCUGCAACUCGACUACGUGAAGCUGGAAUCGCUAGUAAUCGCGGAUCAGAAUGUCGCGGUGAAUACGUUCCCGGGUCUUGUACACACCGCCCGUCAUACCAUGG
rnacentral:rRNA from 1 species